ACGCUCGACACCUACGGAGGCAGCAGUGGGGAAUAUUGCACAAUGGGGGAAACCCUGAUGCAGCGACGCCGCGUGAAGGAAGAAGUAUCUCGGUAUGUAAACUUCUAUCAGCAGGGAAGAAAAUGACGGUACCUGACUAAGAAGCCCCGGCUAACUACGUGCCCGCAGCCGCGGUAAUCUGAGCGGGCGUGGCAAGGC
rnacentral:rRNA from 1 species